GUGCCAGCAGCCGCGGUAAUACGGAGGGUGCAAGCAUUAAUCGGAUUUACUGGGUGUAAAGAGCGCGCAGGCGGAUAAGUCAGUCAGAUGUGAAAUUCCGAAGCUCAACUUCGGAGCUGCGUUUGAAACUUCUUAUCUAGAGGGUAGACGGAGAAAACGGAAUUCCACGUGUAGCGGUGAAUGCGUAGAUAUGUGGAAGAACACCGGUGGCGAAGGCGGUUUUCUAGUUUAUUCCUGACGCUCAGGCGCGAGAGCAAGGGUAGCAAACAGGAUUAGAUACCCUGGUAGUCCUUGCCGUAAACUAUGCAUACUUGGUGUAGCCGGUCUCAACCCCGGCUGUGCCGUAGCUAACGUGUUAAGUAUGCCACCUGGGGAGUACGCUCGCAAGGGUGAAACUCAAAUGAAUUGGCGG
rnacentral:rRNA from 1 species